ensembl:snRNA U6 U6 spliceosomal RNA
AUGCUCACUUCAGUAGCAUAUAUACUAAAUUUGGAACAAUACAGAGAAGAUUAGCAUGGCUCCAGGGCAAGGAUGACAUGAAAAUUUGUGAAGCAGCCCAUGUUUUU